rnacentral:lncRNA from 1 species
UUUUUUUUUUUAGAAGGCCGUAUCAUUAAUUCACAAGAGAAUGAUGGUACCUUAGAGUGGUUAAAAGGAUUCAUGUACCUUUUGAAAGUAGACUUCACAGGAUCUUUUGAGUUUGAGUAUGUGAGAAAGGAUAAAAUUAAAGUUCAAAAGAUAAUCAAAAGUCUCAAAUAAGAAGGAGCAGUCACUAAGAAAGGAAAACAAGUUAUGAAUACACACAGCAAAGAAAAUAUAUUUGUAUCAAGAGUUUAGAGGAGAAUGUAGCAAUAUUGUCUAAAGCAGUACAGUAAAAAAAAAAAAAAAAGGAUAAAAAUAUCUGUUGGAGUUAACAAUUUUGAAGGUGUUAUCUUUUGCCAAAGCAGUUUCAAUGAAGUGGCAAGGAAGAAAUCGGAUUGCAAUGGUUUGGAGAGUGAAUGGGGCCCAAGGAAUGAGAGAUAGCACUAAAUGUUAUCACUUCAAAACUCAGCAGAGUGGAAAGAAGAGGGUUAUAGUUGCUGGAUAUUUAGAGUAAAAAGAAGAUUCAAUCAGUCAUGUGUUGUGACUCAGAACCACGAAAGAUCCAGGGUAAUCUCUUUGAAUCCAGGGUUUCAAGGACAGCCUGAUGGAAUGGGUCUUUUCCACUUUCCAGUCAUCAAGAUUUAAAGGUCAAUUCGCUUUGGAACCUGAGUCAAGGAGAGAACUCCAGAAGUACAGCUCAACCAUUCAGCAACCAUCCAAACAGAAGUAUAAUGGAUCCAAAGAAGUCACCAAAGCAUUAGUAAACUGCAUCUGGGAAAAGGACACAUUCAUUAAGUUUGUGCAGCAUUAUAUUCAGUUCUACCAAUACCUGGUUUAAUCACUUCACCUGAUAACUUCAGGUGAACUUAGCUUCAACUUUUGCUAAGCAGAUAAAAAUGUUAAACACACAUCUUACUUUCACUUAUUUAAAUGAGGUUUAUAUAGAUUAAAAGAUUAUUUAAUUGUUGUGGUCUCAAUAAGACCUUGAAAUUUUUCAACUUUUUUUUAAAGAUUUUAUUUAUUUAUUCAUAAGAGACACAGAGACUGAGAGAGAGGCAGAGACCCAGGCAGAAGGAGAAGCAGGCUCCAUGCAGGGAGCCCGAUGUGGGACUCGAUCCCGGGUCUCCAGGAUCAUGCCCUGCGCUGAAGGUGGCGCUAAACCGCUGGGCCACCCCGGUUGCCCCAUAUUUUUCAACUUUUAAUCAAGUCUAUUCUAUCAUAUACAAAUUAUGCAGUAUCCUAAAGGUUAAUAUAUUAGCUUCUAUUUUUUAAAAUGCCCUUCUAUUGAGAAUAAACACAAUAACAGCCAUAAAACUUUUUAAAUGGAGGGAGUUUUAGAGACAUCAAGUCUGAACACCUCCAUUUGGAAUGAGGAUUUGAGCUUAUGAAAUCUUGGUCAGGCUAACGUUAUAUAAAUACCAAUAGAAACAAGACAAAAAUCUAGACUCUAGGAUUUCAAUAGUUUUUUUUUUCCACUUCUGUAAUCUAUAAUUCUUUUAAGUAGUCUCUAAAAAAAAACAUACUAGGAUAUCAUCACCAAAAUUAAAUAUUUCAAAUAUGUUGACUGCCUUCCUAUAUAUGGCUCUAGGCAUUGUUCUAUGUCUUGACAUAAAUUAUUUUAUUCAAUCUUCACAGCAACUCUAAGAGACAGGUACUAUUAUUGCCCCAUUUUGCAGGUGGAGAAACUAAGCCUUAAAGAGACUGAGUACCUUUUCUAAGGCCACUCAGGUAGCAAGUGGUAAAACUAGAAUGGCAUCUGAGGCACAAGGCAGUCUGCUUAUUUCCAGAUGCAGGCUAAACAGUUCUCAAGAUUUAAUUCAGAAAGCAGUGAUUGAAAGGCUACUAUCAGUAAGACGGUAUCUUGGGAGCUGAAUAAGAUAUAUAAGAUACAGAGCUUAAAAACCUAUCAAAAAAGACCGAUGCAUCCACCACUAACUGACACAGAACAAAAAGUGUUUAGGGAAAAAAGAAAAGCAAAGUGCACAGAAGAGAAAGCUAUUCCUGGGCUAAGGGUAGACAUAAAAAGGGCCAAUACUACCUUAUAACCUGUUGAGAUCUGCUUUGAACCAAUUGGUUACUAACAGAUCCCAAUGGAUAGAGAAGUAUUUCUUUUUAAUAUUCUUAAAUGCUUAUCAUUCAACUCAGCUUUUUUUCCUAUACCAUACUCAACUCAGCCACUUCUAGAUUUAGUUAGCACUCAAGGCAUUUUUUUUUUAAUGCCCGUGGUGUGGAGGGUAAAGAGCAUGCAGUAAAUAAAUCAGCUGUGCAAAAGCUCUCUUAAUAUAUCAAAGAAUCUUUACAGAUAGUUAUUAGAGGCCUCAAAGCCUCCAUAAAAUAAUCCACUUACAUUCACUGUCCACUUAAGUGGCAACCUCUAAAUUUAUGAGUUAGUUUCUUGCUGAAAAGUCAUAUAACUUGUGAGUGUUAAUUUCUUAGAUGACCCUGGUUGGGUAAGAAAAUUGCAAAUGAGAGUCAGAGUUAAGGUAACUAACUCCUGCCAAAUACAUGCCAUUUUAGAUUCCUAGAUACCAGCCCAACCCAUUCAAGAAUCACUGCACCUUCAAUGGAAUAUUUCUUGAGAAAUGUUUAUGUUAUGAUUUACUGAAGAUGAGGGAAUAUACCUGUGAUUUUUGUUUAAGGCCCAAAUUUUGGCUAUAUUUUUCUUCAACUAUUUAUUACCAAAUAAGUUUUAUUUUUAUUUUAUACCUAACCUGUAUAAUAGACUGCAUUUGCUUUUAAAAGUUAAUAGAAGAUCCAAUGUUUACCCUGUUUUCUUACCAAAAACAUUACUGUUGCCAGCCAACUUGUAUAAACAUAAAGUAUGAGUGUCUGGGGCUGAAAACAGUAUUAAAUCACCUUUUUAUUGUAGAGGGGGACCUAUCCAAGCUUCCACUUUAGUAUCUGAUUGCUUCUCCUAGUGUUUUGGUACAAAAAGUUUUUUAUCUCUUCCCCGUAAGUAGCGUUCUGACUACUAAGAAGGUGGAGGUACACAGGAAAGCUUUAGCAUACUACUUGGCCAAAUAUCUUCAGACUCUCUUAUAAAUAAAAGAAGACCAGAACUAUUUUCCUACAUCAAUGUUGGCCAAGCUGUCUUCAUUUGCCUACUGCUGUUAUGGCUAAUGUAUUAUCCUUAUAACACCUAGACUCAUACACUUCAUAUUUUAGUUUAAAUGGAAUCAUUAUUUUUAGUUAAAUAAAUUUACUUUAAAAAACUGUCUACUUCUAUUGUAAAUGAAAAAUCAGCAUGUGUCAUUAAAAAAUACCAUAAACCUCUAGCAAGAUGCAGUGGUUUGCCAAGAUCUGCUUUCCAGUUAUCAAAUAUGGAGAUCAACAAAUGUUAGUGAGCUCUUAAAGACACACUAGUACCACACUGAAGCUUUUUGGUUUUUUCUCCUUAUUCUAAUUAGAAAAAAAAAAUUGCAAAGAAAGUGAAUUUCUAUGUGGCUCAGUGAUUUUUAAUGUUGUGCCCAUGUACCUUCCAAACUCAUCUCAAGUACCUCCAGGCAGCCAAGAGGCAUUCUGAAAAACGCUAUUGUAAAUUAUCCAGAAUUUCAUAAGCCCAAACCUUGCCACUUCUAAUUGAUCCAGAAUCCAGUAUCACUGUUGUCAUCGACAGUCUUAUCUGAGCUUUUCCUCCCCUCUCUCCAACCACACUGAGUCCCCACUGUGUUUUUCUCAGAGCAAGACUGGUCCAGUUGUCUGGAAACUCUGCUUCCCACCUGGCUCCACCACAAGCUAGCAGCUCCCCGUGCCUCACAACCUUCUGGCUCAGUCUCAAUGUCAAAAAGAUAAUGGUGGGUCGCAUAUCUACUUAGUAUACUUCCUCCAGAUUUACUUUUUCACUUCAGCGUUCUACUUUCAAAGGUUUAUUCGUUUCUCAGCCUGUCUUCCUUGAAUUUCUGCUGUCUUGAACCUGAACUAUCAUUCUUCCAUUCUCCAUGUUAGUAAUUCCACAUUCCGCUGGGAAAUAAAGGUUCGCUUCUCAACUCUGGAAUGAAUACAUUAUUCAUCCUUGCUUGCACAAAUUCUAAUUUUGGAUACGAUAUUUUUUCUCAUCCACAAUAUUCUUAAGCUAUAAAUUGACAACAUGGUAUACUUUGUAUUAGAAAACAGUCAAAAACUUAAAGCACAAUACACUCUUUGCGAAAUUACAGGAAGCGCUAUAAAGAAAUGUUAACAGUCAAAUGAAGAUGUUCUGAACUAUACUGUAGUCCCCUUUCCAAUUAUCCUAGUAUUUUAAAAAUCAAAUUUAGCAUUAUUGGAAACUAGAAAUACUCAGCAUUACUGUAAAAUAUUAGUCAGUAGCCAGGGUUAGUUGUAGUAUAUGCACCUGUCAUUUUUCACACAGCACUUCUACCAGGGUAUUUCUUAAACAUUACAUGUGAGCAAAUGGCUUUUUACCCAUUUUAUGCACUUUUAAAGCCUCACCAUGAUUUUACUUACAGCUAUUAUUUCUAAUACAGUUGGGCACUGACCUGAUGACCCAGCAGACCAUCCUGAAUACAAAACAAAGGACACAUACUGGUCAGCUGCUGGCUGGCAAGUCCCUGAGUGACCAGGUCAAAAGCCCUCAGCAAGUAUACAGGAAAAGAUUAAUGGGAAGAGAAAGAAAUCCUUAGCCAAUGCCACAGUAAAACUAGCUGCUCCAUGGAGAUAUUAGACACAAAAUUUGGCCCAUUAGCACAGAACUCUAUACUGGGGUUAACCAUCUUCAGACAACUUAAAUAUUCUUUCUCCAAUUAAGAAGUGGUGCCUGCAUGUGAUGGAGCCAAUGAGUUGAAUUGAAAACAAAAUACGCAUUGUACUGAGAUGACCCAAAUAUCAGUAAUUCAUUAAAACGGUCUCAAACUGAGACCUUUUUCUACAUAGGGUGACAACUAUAAGAGAGAAUCAGAUGAUAGAUAUGGUAUUCCUGUGGUGAACUAGUACAGCAGCUCAUCAUAUUUACCCAUGUAUCUCCUUAAGGUCUUAUUUGUGAAAGGUUGUGAUAAAACCGAGUAGAACUUUAAAUUCAUUUGGCUUUUGAGAUUAUCACUCUAUUUAACCUUGAAAGCUUUUUGCAUUUUCUCAUGCCUUUGUUUGCUUUCAGGAAUUUAUCUUCAUUUUAACUUUAAUCCGUUUUAUAUCUCCUGCCUCAUCUUCGAUCCACAAGUUCAACCUUUUUUUUUUUUUUAAUCUGCAGUGUCUACAGUGUAGGUGGGGGUGGGAAGGCUUCUGUCUCCUUUUUAUAAAGACAUACAAUAAAGUCAUCUUAAAAGUUACAAACACAUAUGUAUGUGUAUAUAUGUGUGAUUAAUCAAUAAUCAUUUUAUCUGUUAGACUGAAAAACUGGUAUCCAAGUAAUACUUAUUCUAUAUUAAGUAGCAGUUUCACCUCAGAUUUACUGAUUCUGACAGUUACACUAUCCUUAAAAAGACAGACAGUAUUUUGUCUCAAGAAACUGAAGCAUUUUGGGAUCCCUGGGUGGCGCAGCAGUUUGGUGCCUGCCUUUGGCCCGGGGCGCGAUCCUGGAGACCCGGGAUCAAAUCCCACGUCGGGCUCCCCGUGCAUGGAGCCUGCUUCUCCCUCUGCCUGUGUCUCUGCCUCCCUCUCUCUCUCUCUGUGACUAUCAUAAAUAAAUAAAAAGUAAAAAUUAAAAAAAAAGAAACUGAAGCAUUUUACCAUUACUCCUUACAAAAGUGGAACCAAAUACUUACCAACUUUGCCAUAAGAACCAUAAAAUUAGCUAUGUAGUGAGUGUCUUAGAUUUCUGUAGAGAAUUGUAGUAGUUUGGACCAGCUUUGCACAGCCAGGAGCAUUUCUUGCAUUAGGUAUUGCAAACACAAAACCUAGGAUCUAUGAGCUUUCCAAGGGUCCCACUCCAAAUUUAUCAUUAGCUCCAAAAAUAAGAAUAAAUGUUCAUAUAAUGUCCACAGAAAUGCAUGCCAAUUGCUACUCAGCUCAUACGCAAAUACAAAAAAUUAAAUCUCAAGAGCAAAAGAAAUAAUUUAUUCUUUUAAAAUAAAAUUAUCUAAAAUUUUAUAUCAAAGAAAAAUCCAAUGUGACAUAUGAAAAUAGGUGUAUAAGAAUUAGAAUGUGAUACAGUAAGGACUGGGGUCUGCCAAAGUAGGCCUGCCUAGGCUAUAUGCUGUGAUCUGAUCAUUAUAGAUUUUCAUUCACACGUCAGCAAGGCAGUAAUUAAAGAUGGUGAAACACAGGAUUUUGUAAAGCAAUGAAAAAUCUGUAUUAGAACUAUUUGUAUUCUGGGAAUUACUUUCUCACAGACAUUAAAUCAGAUAAAUUGGGAUUUCCCUGAAAUGUUACCCACUGAAGAAAAAUUCCCAGGAGACUUGGGUCUUCUUAUUAUAAUUGGUCUUAUUUUUAUCUCUUUUCUGAAAACAAUAUGAGUAGAACAACUCUACUCCAAGAUAAUUAAGUAUGGCCUAUACUGUCCCAAAGUUAUUGUGGGCAUCAAUAUAUCUAUGAUAGUUUUUUUUUUCUUUUGCCAAUAAUUCAAACAUGCCAGAGAUAUACCACAGCACAAUCGGGAAAUGUUUCCAUACAGUAGUAAUUAUUUCAUAUAUAUUUCCUAUAACCCACUCAGAAUGUCUAACAAUGACCCCCAUACAUUUCUUACUUGAGAAAAAUCAGAACAGAGAAUUCUCAGUAGAAUGUCAUGGGCUUUUAAGGAUCAGACUUAUAAACUACCUUAUAUCAAACCACCACAUCCUAUUACAGUUCCACACCUUGUUGAAGGGCUGAUAUAAACUUGGACUUGAAAUCAAGCACCACAGUGUUAUAAGCUAGCCUAUUUUUUCACAAUAACAAUUCCAUGGAGAGAAACUGCUCUUACUUUCUAACAGGUUUGAGACUCUGAAAUGUGACUGCUUCUCUUCAGUAAUUUUCCAUCAAAUGUGCAAGAUACAUCUUGACAGUGAAACACCGUUUCUCAUUUACCUCUUCAACGAGACUGAAAAUAUAUAAGGGGACAUUCUUCUAUAUGAGAGGACAUUCAUUUUACUUAAAUAACACCAGGGUGGAUCUCUGUGGCUUCAUUUCUUUUUCCAAAUAUUUCUUCAUAAGAAAGCAUUGAUUUCUUAGCUUCUAUGACUUGAUGGGAAAAUUUCUUUUCAACAUGCUAUCUGUAUCUCAAAAUGAUAUGCUGACUUACUGUCAUUAUGACAUGCUAUUUGAGUUAUACUAAACCAAUCACAUUUAGUAGCUAGUUUUCUUGGUGACCACUAAUCUAGUCAUGGAGAAUACAAGUCGUAACUCAAAGCCAUUAAUAACUAACUAAUACAAGUUAGUAACUCAAAGAACUAAGUAUAUGGAUUAGCAAGUCUAUAUAUAUGAGCCCUGCAGGGGACUGAACAUUUUGAAUUAAAGUAAAACAUUUCCAGUAGUAGAAAUAGAAAUGAAUAAUUUUGAAAAUUUAAAUCACAUGGAUGAAUUGUGCCACAAAGUUUCAAAACUGCAGCUACCCCCACCCCCACCAGAGGAGUUAUUCUGCUGGGUUGUGAAUGGGAAGCCCAACCAACCUAUAAAUAAUCAAAAGCAGUUAUUAGAAAUGAAAUUCAUUCUGAACUACAAGCCCUUGUACAGGAAAUGUGUCAAAAAGCCAGUGGUUCCAUUUUCCCCAAAUGCUACUAUCUUGUUCCACUACAAUAGUAGGUUGGAUGACAAAUAAUAACAAAGCCAUCUAAUCUUUAAUGCUUCCAUAUAACAACCGUUAGUUAACUUUAAGUGAUACUAGUGGCCUAAAAUCUUCUAAAACUUGCUGAAAAGCGGUAAAAAAAAAAAAAAAAAAAAAAAG